rnacentral:rRNA from 1 species
UUGAUCAUGGCUCAGGAUGAACGCUGGCGGCGUGCUUAACACAUNCAAGUCGAACGAUGAUACCAGCUUGCUGGUGGAUUAGUGACGAACGGGUGAGUAACACGUGAGUAACCUGCCCUUGACUCUGGGAUAANCCUGGGAAACUGGGUCUAAUACCGGAUAUGACUGAUCAUCGCAUGGUGGUUGGUGGAAAGCUUUUGUGGUUUUGGAUGGACUCGCGGCCUAUCAGCUUGUUGGUGGGGUAAUGGCCUACCAAGGCGACGACGGGUAGCCGGCCUGAGAGGGUGACCGGCCACACUGGGACUGAGACACGGCCCAGACUCCUACGGGAGGCAGCAGUGGGGAAUAUUGCACAAUGGGCGAAAGCCUGAUGCAGCGACGCCGCGUGAGGGAUGACGGCCUUCGGGUUGUAAACCUCUUUCAGUAGGGAAGAAGCGUAAGUGACGGUACCUGCAGAAGAAGCGCCGGCUAACUACGUGCCAGCAGCCGCGGUAAUACGUAGGGCGCAAGCGUUAUCCGGAAUUAUUGGGCGUAAAGAGCUCGUAGGCGGUUUGUCGCGUCUGCCGUGAAAGUCCGGGGCUCAACUCCGGAUCUGCGGUGGGUACGGGCAGACUAGAGUGAUGUAGGGGAGACUGGAAUUCCUGGUGUAGCGGUGAAAUGCGCAGAUAUCAGGAGGAACACCGAUGGCGAAGGCAGGUCUCUGGGCAUUAACUGACGCUGAGGAGCGAAAGCAUGGGGAGCGAACAGGAUUAGAUACCCUGGUAGUCCAUGCCGUAAACGUUGGGCACUAGGUGUGGGGGACAUUCCACGUUUUCCGCGCCGUAGCUAACGCAUUAAGUGCCCCGCCUGGGGAGUACGGCCGCAAGGCUAAAACUCAAAGGAAUUGACGGGGGCCCGCACAAGCGGCGGAGCAUGCGGAUUAAUUCGAUGCAACGCGAAGAACCUUACCAAGGCUUGACAUGAACCAGACCGGGCUGGAAACAGUCCUUCCCCUUUGGGGUUGGUUUACAGGUGGUGCAUGGUUGUCGUCAGCUCGUGUCGUGAGAUGUUGGGUUAAGUCCCGCAACGAGCGCAACCCUCGUUCCAUGUUGCCAGCGGGUAGUGCCGGGGACUCAUGGGAGACUGCCGGGGUCAACUCGGAGGAAGGUGGGGACGACGUCAAAUCAUCAUGCCCCUUAUGUCUUGGGCUUCACGCAUGCUACAAUGGCCGGUACAAAGGGUUGCGAUACUGUGAGGUGGAGCUAAUCCCAAAAAGCCGGUCUCAGUUCGGAUUGGGGUCUGCAACUCGACCCCAUGAAGUCGGAGUCGCUAGUAAUCGCAGAUCAGCAACGCUGC